UCCUAUCACUCUGCAAAACGGACUGCUUCACAUUUAUAAUUUGUUCUCUCAAAUCUUUUUUUUUUUGUCUUUCUGAUAUGCUGCCAAAAAUGAGUUUUUAAAUCUAUUAUGAGGAGAUAAAGGAAGUGGACUAAUGUAUGACCAUCAGAGACCACUGCCUUGCCUUUUGGGUUUGUGGGAACUUCUACACAACACCUCAGCUACACAGUAGGCAGCAGAGCUGGACACCAACACACAUACUACAGUAGAGAAGGAGAAGACAGACGCACCACACACGCUUCCUGCCCUGUACCAGUGAUGGCUCCGCUGUGUCUGCUGGUUAUCUGCCCCCUGUAUCAGAGCCAUAUGUACCAUUUUGAAGUCGAACCUCUCCCCUGGUCACUGGUUUGUCUACUGUCUCUGACCUGAAGACACAUUUAAGCUUUCUCUAACAUCUGAGACGAGGGAUGAUUGAUGCCAGAGGAGAAAAAAGGCCUUGAGGGUGGAGUACUUCAAACAAGACACAGAGAAGAACAAUCUCAGACCCCUAACCUCCCGGGCCUCCUCCCACCCGCUCCCUCCUGCGGGUCUGUACCACUGAAAGGCUCCUCACUGGAGUCCACUUCUGCCCUGGCUGCCAGCUGGAGUGGCCCUAACCUCCGACCUUUGACCCCCAGCCAGCAGCAUCACAGAACUCAGUCCCGGAUGGAGAAGAGCUUGAUGGUCUCUGCGGGGGGCACACAUCCUGUGAGACACUGUGAUUUCCACCCUAUUUCCUUGAAUUCUAAAUCACUUUGAAUCCCACACCUUUUCUACAGAAUUAAGCACAGCCUCUGAGCUCACUCUUACCCCUGGCUCGCUGCGGCUCCAGAGGGAGUGUCUGGUUCCCGCUGCCCUCCUGGUUCCUCCCACACUGCAACAAUAUGGCAACAUUAUCUCUGUGUUCACCUGUUAGCACCUGGCGCUGCAGCUGAGCCGUGCCAACAUAUAAAAGAUGAAUGAAAACACUUAAGCAAUCAACGACCCAUCAGGUCAGAAAUGUUCUUAGAAAAAUGGCCCGUGGUCCACGGCAGGUCACUGACCUUUUUCAAUGUUAGGCCAAAACAGGAUACACCUCACUCUACCCGGAACAGUUCCCAUUCAGCCUGAAUCAGAUAAGGAGGAACAAUUCUGAAACCCAUCCUACUGAAGGGCCUCACACGGUCCAUGGAGACCUGUUUUCCGUCGCUAAAGAUCCAGUGGCCAACGUGUGGUCCUCUGUACCUACAACAGCCACGGGAGCUGUGCGGUGCAUCGAGUCAACUGUGACUGCAUCCUUUUAUCUUAUUACUGUCACCCACGAGACCGAACACACGGUUUCGAUUUCAGCGGCAACAUCAUCAUGUUUUCCACAGACAAGCAGAUGGGCUUGCAGUGUUUCAUGAAACUGUUCGACCUGAGGGAUCCACAGAUCGUCCUGAAGAAAGCUAAGGAGCACAAAGGCACAUUAACGACAUCCAGACCUCACCAUGUUCAUCAGUGCCUCAAAGGACAACACAGCCAAGAUGUAAUGGAGAAGACUUGUGAACACAGCAGCUUGGACUCUGCCAGGUAGAGUGAAGGAGCAACUUUAUUUGAAGCAGCUCACUUGUUGUUUGCUGGACUUGUGAGUAUUUUACUGAAACUUUUUGGCAACAGGGUCACUUUAUGGCCUUUGCACUUUCAUUGUUAGAUACUCAGUCACUUUUCAGAGAAAAAAAAACAAACACUUUUUUUUACUUAGUAUUUAUUUUUCGGCCUUUGCACUUUCAUUGACAGACGCUUUUUUGCACUUUUUUGCAAAUAAUCCAGAAUGAGCUUCUAUAGGUAAACAAAAAACUUCAUUGUGUCUGUAUUUGACUUAAGACUGUUUUAAACCUUCCAGAAUAAGCAGAUCUGAAGAAGCCUCUUCAGGUAAAGAGAAAAAAAACUUUGACUUAGUUUUUCUUUAUGUAAAACUUAAUUGUGCCUUAAUGCUAUUGUCACUUUAAUUGUGAGCUGUAUUUGACUGUUGUAAACCUUCCAGUAUAAAGAAAGUUGUUGGAA